GGAAGUUUGGAAUUGAUUGGAUCCUCGCCGAGAUGUUUACUGUUUUCAAGACUACUGUUUUAAAGAAAAGCAAUAAUAUGGUCAUAUGUGUCAAAGUCGAUUGCUCAUCAACUGUAAACUCGUCCUAUCGCGGAUAAGUUUUUAUUAUGAGCGAUGGUAAUGUUUGAAUAGGACCGAAGUAGGGAGGAUGUGAUCAGACGUUAGUGCAGUGACAAGUCUCCAACUUCAAAGGACACUAUUUAUCAGCUGACAACUAUUGAAUCUGAAAUGAGAUAUAAAAUCACUCUCCCAUUUAUUUUGCAGUGCAUCGUUUUGAUAGGUGCCUGCAUGCUGGUAUAUACCGGGACACUACCAGGACUUCACAUGGAGAUGGAGAGUGUAUGCAUGGAUGGUGCAGCCAUCUUAAUAUCAAUGCAUGCUCUGACUACAGCACCUGUGUCCUGUACUGUGUGGUACAAGGACCUGGAUCAAAGCAAAUCUGUUGUCAAUAAAACAGAGAUCAUUACAGUCACAGAAAAUAAUGUCACACUAAGCAAUCUUAGAAAGACCACACGAUAUCUCGUCCAUGUGAUUUGUGAUGACAAUGAGUCUCUUCAGAAGACUGUAUUUACAGGAAAAUGCCUUUCGGAUCAGGAGUACAAUUCAAACAGAAAUGAUGAGCCUGAUGUAACCUAUAAGGAGCAAGCCAUAUUUUCAGCUUCAGCUGUGGACAUCGUACUAGGUCUGAUGUUUAGUGUGGCGGCCAUCAUUACAGUGUCCAUGACAGCCUAUUACAUGUAUCGCAAAUAUCAACGUAGAAGACGACUUCAACAAUUUCUUAGUACACCACACACAGACCCAUUUGAAAGUCUUCAGAGUUACAUGGAGGACGACUCUUGAUCAAGGGAGAAAACUCCUGCUCAACUAACAUCACACAAAGCUCGCCACUGCCCAAGGAAGAUGAAGAAAGGUUUCGGAAUAUAUAGAAUUUCAAGUUUAUUGGAGAUCAUCAUGUUGUCACAACAGCAAUAUAUUUACAUCAAGUAAAUGGUGGAGAAAUAUCUAAUAGUCCAGGGAGCAGAUACUUAUACAGACCUAAGAUUUGAUUCCUUGGGAUUAAAAGGUAUUGGUGCUUGCUAUUUCCUAAUCCUAGAUACCAGGGUAGUAGCUCAAUAAGGUUUUACAUAUCUAUAAUUCCUCUACAUGUAUUUCACUAUAGAAUGGCAUUGUUAUUUUGCCUACCAGUCAAUUACAGCAGUUAUCAGUAUGCAAAUUUUGCAUUAAACAUUAUAAGUCUCAUUAGGUAUUUCAAAAAUACUGUAUUUUAUCUAAGGUCUUACCAUUGAUUAUGGUAAUAUAGAGACUGUAUUUGUUUUAAUUUGGAAAUUCUGGUUACUAUGGAUUAAGAUCUUUACUGACUGAUUUACAUACAGAUUUGAGAAGUGAUAGCCAUACCCUAAAGGUGUUCUUGCCUAUUCAGUGUUUCUACUGAUAACUGUGUUAUAUAGUAUGAGCUUUGUGUGAUUUCGUCUCUACUGCCUUCAUAUUAACUAUGCCAAAUAGAUAUAGACUUAUACUACAAUUACUGUACACACAGUGUGUGAUUGGUCCUCUGUAGAAUUGUGUUGGACGUCCAAUAUUGUAGAGAAUUGCCACAAGCAUCUUUGUGAUUUGUACAAUACUUAUCUGCCAUUAGUGAGGUAUAUAGACAAACAACGAAAUGCUCAUUCUAUGUACAUGUCGAUUAACAAAAGAUUCUUUUAAUGUAGUAGAAUUAUUAAAUGUAGAAUUGUUUUAAUUUUCUGUAUGUCAAACAUUGUAGACAAAUAUGACAUUUUUUGUACAUUUGUUUUAUCUGUACAAUACUCUUCUGCUAUAAACUUUUCAUUCCAAUCAGAUAAAUAUUAGAUCUAGUCAUCAUCAAACAAGGAUUUUUUUCAAAUCCAAGAAAUAUUUUGUACAACAUGAUAGGAUACCAGGGUAUGUACAGCUCUAUGUCCUGUUGUAGUAUCACCAGUAAUUCAGGAUACCAGGGUGUAUACAGAUCUAUGUCCUGUUGUAGUAUCGACAGUAAUUCAGGAUACCAGGGUGUAUACAGAUCUAUGUCCUGUUGUAGUAUCACCAGUAAUUCAGGAUACCAGGGUGUAUACAGAUCUAUGUCCUGUUGUAGUAUCGACAGUAAUUCAGGAUACCAGGGUGUAUACAGAUAUAUGUCCUGUUGUAGUAUCACCAGUAAUUCAGGUUACCAGGGUGUGUACAGAUCUAUGUCCUGUUGUAGUAUCACCAGUAAUUCAGGAUACCAGGGUGUGUACAGAUCUAUGUCCUAGUAUCACCAGUAAUUCAGGAUACCAGGGUGUAUACAGAUCUAUGUACUGUUGUAGUAUCACCAGUAAUUCAGGAUACCAGGGUGUGUACAGAUCUAUGUCCUGUUGUAGUAUCACCAGUAAUUCAGGAUACCGGGGUGUGUACAGAUCUAUGUCCUGUUGUAGUAUCACCAGUAAUUCAGGAUACCAGGGUGUGUACAGAUCUAUGUCCUGUUGUAGUAUCACCAGUAAUUCAGGAUACCAGGGUGUAUACAGAUCUAUGUCCUGUUGUAGUAUCACCAGUAAUUCAGGAUACCAGGGUGUGAACAGAUCUAUGUCCUGUUGUAGUAUCACCAGUAAUUCAGGAUACCAGGGUGUAUACAGAUCUAUGUCCUGUUGUAGUAUAACCAGUAAUUCAGGAUACCUGGGUGUGUGCAGAUCUAUGUCCUGUUGUAGUAUCACCAGUAAUUCAGGAUACCAGGGUGUAUAUACAGAUCUAUAUCCUAGUAUCACCAGUAAUGCAGGAUACCAGGGUGUGUACAGAUCUAUGUCCUGUUGUAGUAUCACCAGUAAUUCAGGAUACCAGGGUGUAUACAGAUCUAUGUCCUAGUAUCACCAGUAAUUCAGGAUACCAGGGUGUGUACAGAUCUAUGUCCUGUUGUAGUAUCACCAGUAAUUCAGGAUACCAGGGUGUGUACAGAUCUAUGUCCUGUUGUAGUAUCACCAGUAAUUCAGGUUACCAGGGUGUGUACAGAUCUAUGUCCUGUUGUAGUAUCACCAGUAAUUCAGGAUACCAGGGUGUGUACAGAGCUAUGUCCUGUUGUAGUAUCACCACUAAUUCAGGAUACCAGGGUGUAUACAGAUCUAUGUCCUAGUAUCACCAGUAGUUCAGGAUACCAGGGUGUGUACAGAGCUAUGUACUGUUGUAGUAUCACCAGUAAUUCAGGAUACCAGGGUGUAUACAGAUCUAUGUCCUGUUGUAGUAUCGACAGUAAUUCAGGAUACCAGGGUGUGUACAGAGCUAUGUCCUGUUGUAGUAUCGACAGUAAUUCAGGAUACCAGGGUGUAUACAGAUCUAUGUCCUAGUAUCACCAGUAAUUCAGGAUACCAGGGUGUGUACAGAGCUAUGUCCUGUUGUAGUAUCACCAGUAAUUCAGGAUACCAGGGUGUAUACAGAUCUAUGUCCUGUUGUAGUAUCACCAGUAAUUCAGGAUACCGGGGUGUGUACAGAUCUAUGUCCUGUUGUAGUAUCGACAGUAAUUCAGGAUACCAGGGUGUAUACAGAUCUAUGUCCUGUUGUAGUAUCACCAGUAAUUCAGGAUACCGGGGUGUGUACAGAUCUAUGUCCUGUUGUAGUAUCACCAGUAAUUCAGGAUACCGGGGUGUGUACAGAUCUAUGUCCUGUUGUAGUAUCACCAGUAAUUCAGGAUACCAGGGUGUAUACAGAUCUAUGUCCUGUUGUAGUAUCACCAGUAAUUCAGGAUACCAGGGUGUGUACAGAGCUAUGUCCUGUUGUAGUAUCACCAGUAAUUCAGGAUACCAGGGUGUAUACAGAUCUAUGUCCUGUUGUAGUAUCACCAGUAAUUCAGGAUACCGGGGUGUGUACAGAUCUAUGUCCUGUUGUAGUAUCACCAGUAAUUCAGGAUACCAGGGUGUGUACAGAUCUAUGUCCUAGUAUCACCAGUAAUUCAGGAUACCAGGGUGUAUACAGAUCUAUGUACUGUUGUAGUAUCACCAGUUAUUCAGGAUACCGGGGUGUGUACAGAUCUAUGUCCUGUUGUAGUAUCACCAGUAAUUCAGGAUACCAGGGUGUGUACAGAUCUAUGUCCUGUUGUAGUAUCACCAGUAAUUCAGGAUACCAGAGUGUGUACAGAUCUAUGUCCUGUUGUAGUAUCACCAGUAAUUCAGGAUACCAGGGUGUAUACAGAUCUAUGUACUGUUGUAGUAUCACCAGUAAUUCAGGAUACCAGGGUGUAUACAGAUCUAUGUCCUGUUGUAGUAUCACCAGUUAUUCAGGAUACCGGGGUGUGUACAGAUCUAUGUCCUGUUGUAGUAUCACCUGUAAUUCAGGAUACCAGGGUGUAUACAGAUCUAUGUCCUGUUGUAGUAUCACCAGUAAUUCAGGAUACCAGGGUGUGAACAGAUCUAUGUCCUGUUGUAGUAUCACCUGUAAUUCAGGAUACCAGGGUGUAUACAGAUCUAUGUCCUGUUGUAGUAUCACCAGUAAUUCAGGAUACCAGGCCUAGGGUGUAUAUACAGAUCUAUGUCCUAGUAUCACCAGUAAGUCAGGAUACCAGGGUGUGUACAGAUCUAUGUCCUGUUGUAGUAUCACCAGUAAUUCAGGAUACCAGGGUGUGUACAGAUCUAUCCUUUAACAUCUAUAAAAUUCAAAAAGCAUUUUUUUGUUAUCAUCUUGUCCCAUAAAAACAAAAUUUGUGUAUCAGUUUAUAUUUCAUUAUGCUUGAUUGUGUGAUUUACUGUGUACCAAUAUAAAAAUCAUUAUCAAUACUUAGUUUUGUCAAGAGUUCAUGUUGGUAUUACUGUUCCACAAUGUCAUUAGUUGCAGUAUGGUACAAUUGUCAAAUUAAUACUUCCAGGAGAAAGAAAAAUCACAAGUACUACAUGUACAAAAGUGUUGUUUUAGAAGCUUAAGCCAUAUGGCAUUAGCAUAUAUAUUUUUAGUUUUUAAACAAGUUGUGAUAUUUUUUCCUGCUUUUAUUGUUUAAGUAUUGUUUUAGUUCUAAUGAGUUUUGUAUUGCAUUUUUUAAUGCUUGAUAUUUUCCUAUUACAGGUUAAGUAUGUGUAUAAUUUCAAAUUGAUACAGAUAGAUUGCAUUACAGAGUAAUUCUUUAAUGUUGUAAUAAACAGAUAGAUUGCAUUACACUUAAUUGGUCAAGAAGUAUUUCAAGUAACUAUAGCUAUAUAUCAGCUAGUUGUAGCCAUAAUUGUAUUUUGAAAAAAAGACAGUAUUCUGUUACUCUUGGAUAUGAGAUUAUAUUGAUCUGAUAAUAUAAGUUGUAUUGACAUGAUUCAAUAUAUGUUGACAUGGUUCAAAGUAUUUUGGGUUAUUAUUUUAAUGCAUUUCAUCACAAUGUUUUCAUGUAGUUUAAAUGUAGUACAGUAACUGUACAAUAUACAUGUCGUUUGUUUUAUAUCUGCCAGUCAAUUAUAACAAUUUUAUCAUUUAUCAAUGUAAGAUGUUUUAUGUAAUUAUUUAUAAUUAAUAAUUGUUAUUUAUUUUCCCAUUUGUAGUAUUUUUUUAUGGUUAUAUAUAUAUGCUGCCAAAUGUACUUAUGACAUUCCUGCCCUACAGACUGAAGUGAAUCAGUGUGCAAAAGACCUUUGGAGAGAUUUGAUGAGUUGAACUUAUCUUGUAUGCUACUAAUUGGGGAAGUAUUUACCAGGAUAUAUCUACAAGUGGCCAAUUUAAACGUGCAAUAUUAUUGGAAUGAUGAAUACAGUAUAUUGGCUGUAAUCUAUGUACAUAAUUAUAUAUUUAGUAAUGAGAACUGAUUGGCUAGUGAAUGGCUACCUGUACAUUAUAUAUAGUGGGUACCAUGUUCCGUUUACUCCUCAAUGCACAGAGUGAGGAGUAGAUUACUAUAUUGAGUCUGUACCUAUAACAUGGUAUCUUAAUUCUCAGAAGAAAAACAUUCAACAUAAUUAGAUUGUCAGAACUUUUAUUUGUUGACAUACAUGACCUUACAUCGGUAAACUAUGUAUCCACAAAUAUGGGGGGUACAAUCGGUUUUGGUUACAUGUGUAGAUGGUUAUAAGAAAUGCUCUCUAUCUAUUUGCUUCUUGAUAAAAUGAUUUUUUUGGGUGACUCUGCUGGUCUGCCAGUUGUCUUGGAAGAUUCUGUACUGGUCUGCCAGUAGUCUACUUAUGGUAUUUUGUAAUCCAUUUCUAUAGGUUCCAGGCAAUAAAUCUAAAAAAAAUAUUGCCUAAAUGGAUACUUGCCAACUAAUUUGCCUUAAACGACUGUAUGGUAUAUACAGAAGAAGAACAGGCCUGAGGGCCAGUAGAUUUGGUCUAUGGGCAAGUAAUGCUACUUGUCUGUUCGGCAAGUGCAAAUUUUCUUGUACUCUUCACCAUUCUUAUUUUACUACCAAUUCAAUAAAUGGGAUUAAUAAAUUUAAAAUUUGGACCAUUUUUUUCGAAUACAUAUUUUGCUGACAGCCAUGAUUAAAUUUCUUGCCCAGGUUAUAUAUACAAUGUAUAUGUUUAUGGUAUGUUUAUCAUAUCCUGAUAUGGUCAUGUUCGGAACCUAUAGGAUAUCUAGCAUGACUAGAAGUUAGUUGCUUCUUUGAAUCAAGUUUACGAAAGUGUGAUUCACAUUUGUGAAGUGUUCAUAUUAAAGGAUGAGGUAAUUGAUCUUUUUUGGUGUUACAAUGGUCUCAGCUUUAUAAAAUUCAGUGAUCAUAUAUGAGGUGAACAGUUUUCCUUUGUUUAAUAUUUUUAGCUCACCUGCCCAGUGAUGUGGUACAUCAUCCUUUUUCAACCUGGAGUAAACAUGUAACUUCAAACAAUAACCAAGAGGGCAGUCAUGAUGAUAUGAACCAGAAGGAUGAAGUUCCAUCAAAUUUGUUCAAGUGAACCACAGGUGUCUACUUCUGGCUAUUAUUGAUAGAAAAAUAUAUUAGCCCUUCUCCUACUAUAUCAACUUGAUGAGUACGGUCUAAUAUUAUUUCUAUCAAUACAAGCCAGAAGCAGACGCCUCUGAGUGAACAUAGAUUUACUUUGAAGAUCAUAUGAGCUGGAGGUGAAGUUUCAUUUACUUAUUCUCAGCCAUGAGGUCAUUGUCAUAAUAUUACACUGAUUUGGUGUUAAAGAAGCAUUCUGGGAUGAAGGACUGCAAAUAUUUUUCAAACGAAUGACUUUGACCUACUUUUAAGGUUGCAUGUGUUGUACAUGCUAAAAUCUUAUAUAUAUUGUUAAGAAAGAAGCCCAAUUUUAUAAUGAAUGUGUCAAAUUAAUGAUGUGGAAAGAAGAAUUAAUAAUUUGAUCCUCGUCAAUAAACUUUGAAAGUCACUUGAAGUUGGUUUCCUGUCAAAGUCUUCUCCCUUUGGACCCAAGGGGACUCUUGUUAGCUGGUACUAUUGAUGAUUUCAUUAUAUGUACUCUGUAUUCCGAUUAAGUUUUUAGUUGGCUUUAUUGAAGGUACAAUAAAAAGACUCUUAAAUUUU